GGACGAUUAGCUCAGCGGGAGAGCGCUUCCCUGACACGGAAGAGGUCACUGGUUCAAAUCCAGUAUCGUCCA
rfam:Streptomyces oceani strain SCSIO 02100 scaffold38, whole genome shotgun sequence.